rnacentral:lncRNA from 10 species
CUUGCUCUGUCACCCAGGCUGGAGGUCAGUGGCGCGUCCUUGGCUGCAACAUCCGCCUCCCGGGCCAGCGAAUGCCCCCCAACAUUAAUCCCCACCAAGUCCAAGCCAGGGAAAAGGGGAUUCAUUUAGAAAUCCAGACGUGUUGACCAUGUUUAAAAACAAAAACAAAAACAAAACAAAACCACCACUUUUAGAGAGUAACCAAAUGCAAUCUAAAGGAGCGGUCCCCAGCGUUUUUAGGCACCAGGGACUGGUUUCAUAGAAGACAAUUUUUCCACAGACGGGUGUUAGGGAAAUAGUUUCGGGAUGAAACUGUUCCACCUUACAUCAUCAGGCAUUAGAGUCUCAUAAUGACUGCUGAAAAAGCGCACAACCUGGAUCCCUCGUGUGCACAGUUCACAAUAGUGUUUGCGCUCCUAUGAGAAUCUAAUGCGGCUGCUGAUCUGACAGGAGGUGGAGCUCAGGCCUUAAUGCUUGCUCACCUCCGGCUGUGCGGCCCUAACAGGCAGUGGACCUGUACCUGUCCAUGGCCUGGAGGUUUGGGACCCCUAAUCUAAAGGAUUUUUUUUCCCGCUAUUUUCAAAAGAUCUCCAAAAUCCAAGCCAUGGAAAAAGGAAAAUUCAAUACCUCAUCUUAUACAUUGAAUAGAAUUUCUCAUAGGACAUUCCUUUGGAUAAGGGCUUGCAACCCUGUGAAACAUUUAAGAACUAAUUUGGAGUCUUGAUACAGUGCCAACUGCAGCCCCCAAAGGUACCAAACCAAUAAUUAUGAUCCUAAAUUUUAUGCUUCUCAGAAUCCACCCUGGAUGUUUACUUUCAUGAUUUUGUUUUAUUUUAUCCAAGUGGAUACAGUUUAUGAUUACUCUUCACUAUUAAAUUUUUUGAGGAAACUUAAUCUGGCUAAUUUUUAUUAAAUCAAGGGUUCUGUGUUUUGCAUAAUAGCAAGUACAAAUCAGCACAGUGUAGAGUAUACAUUGAUGCCUGUGGGCUCAUGGUGUGAUGUCUGUAGCCUCUUGUGCUUUCUAGUAUUUAAAAAUGUCCAUGUUUAUAAUGAUAAUAGGGAUUUCUGUUCCUUUAGUAUUUCUGUUUCCCUUUUUCAGGCCUGCUUCAGAUUCUGAAAGUGAUAUUAUCUUUGACAAUGAAGAUGAGAACAGUAAAAGUCAGAAUCAGGUAUAUAUAUGAAUAGAAAUUAUAUCAUUUUAUUCGUGAUAUAAUUGACGUCUGAUGUCAUAAACCUUAGGUAAAGUAUUAAGGCUUUAAUCUGAUAUUCAGAUAUAGAAACCAUAAAUUUUAAAAGAUGAUUAUUCAUUUAAAA